rnacentral:rRNA from 1 species
GAUGAACGCUGGCGGCGUGCCUAAUACAUGCAAGUCGAGCGAACAGACGAGGAGCUUGCUCCUCUGACGUUAGCGGCGGACGGGUGAGUAACACGUGGAUAACCUACCUAUAAGACUGGGAUAACUUCGGGAAACCGGAGCUAAUACCGGAUAAUAUAUUGAACCGCAUGGUUCAAUAGUGAAAGACGGUUUUGCUGUCACUUAUAGAUGGAUCCGCGCCGCAUUAGCUAGUUGGUAAGGUAACGGCUUACCAAGGCAACGAUGCGUAGCCGACCUGAGAGGGUGAUCGGCCACACUGGAACUGCGACACGGUCCAGACUCCUACGGGAGGCAGCAGUAGGGAAUUUUCCGCAAUGGGCGAAAGCCUGACGGAGCAACGCCGCGUGAGUGAUGAAGGUCUUCGGAUCGUAAAACUCUGUUAUUAGGGAAGAACAAAUGUGUAAGUAACUAUGCACGUCUUGACGGUACCUAAUCAGAAAGCCACGGCUAACUACGUG